GUUACAGAGUUGCAAAACUCCCUAAACCAUUGUGAACGUUACCAAACCGUUGCUUCGGCGGGCGGCACGCCAGUGCCCCUGGCCCCCCCUCGCGGGGGCGCCCGCCGGAGGUACCCAAACCAUUGAUACUUUAUGGCCUCUCUGACUCUUCUGUACUGAAUAAGUCAAAACUUUCAACAACGGAUCUCUUGGUUCUGGCAUCGAUGAAGAACGCAGCGAAAUGCGAUAAGUAAUGUGAAUUGCAGAAUUCAGUGAAUCAUCGAAUCUUUGAACGCACAUUGGGCCCGCCAGUAUUCUGGCGGGCAUGCCUGUUCGAGCAUCAUUUCAACCAUCAAGCCCCCGGCUUGUGUUGGGGACCUGCGGCUGCCGCAGGCCCUGAAAACCAGUGGCGGGCUCGCUGUCACACCGAGCGUAGUAGAUUUCAUCUCGCUCAGGGCGUGCUGCGGGUUCCGGCCGUUAAACCACCUUCAUAACCCAAGGUUG
rnacentral:sRNA from 2 species